rnacentral:rRNA from 1 species
CCUACGGGAGACAGCAGUGAGGAAUAUUGGUCAAUGGGCGCGAGCCUGACCCAGCCAAGUAGCGUGAAGGAUGACUGCCCUACGGGUUUUAAACUUCUUUUAUAAAGGAAUAAAGUGAGGCACGUGUGCCUUUAUGUAUGUACUUUAUGAAUAAGGAUCGGCUAACUCCGUGCCAGCAGCCGCGGUAAUACGGAGGAUCCGAGCGUUAUCCGGAUUUUUUGGGUUUAAAGGGAGAGUAGAUGGGUUUUUAAGUCAGUUGUGAAAAUUUCCGGCUCAACCGUAAAAUUGCAAUUGAUACUGGCAGUCUUGAGUACAGUUGAGGUAGGCGGAAUUCGUGGUGUAGCGGUGAAAUGCUUAGAUAUCAGGAAGAACUCCGAUUGCGAAGGCAGCUUACUAAACUGCCACUGACAUUGAUGCUCGAAAGUGUGGGUAUCAAACAGGAUUAGAUACCCGUGUAGUC